rnacentral:rRNA from 1 species
GUUACCUACGGGGGGCAGCAGUGGGGAAUAUUGCACAAUGGGGGAAACCCUGAUGCAGCGACGCCGCGUGAGUGAAGAAGUAUUUCGGUAUGUAAAGCUCUGUCAGCAGGGAAGAAAAUGACGGUACCUGACCAAGAAGCCCCGGCUAACUACGUGCCAGCAGCCGCGGUAAUACGUAGGGGGCAAGCGUUAUCCGGAUUUACUGGGUGUAAAGGGAGCGUAGACGGCAGGGCAAGUCUGGAGUGAAAGGCGGGGGCUCAACCCCCGGCCCGCCCUGGAAACUGCCAGGCUG